rnacentral:rRNA from 1 species
CCAGACUCCUACGGGAGGCAGCAGUGGGGAAUAUUGCGCAAUGGACGAAAGUCUGACGCAGCGACGCCGCGUGAGGGAUGAAGGUUUUCGGAUCGUAAACCUCUGUCAGGAGGGAAGAAAGCGCAUGGCGCCAAUCAGCCAUGCGUUGACGGUACCUCCAAAGGAAGCGCCGGCUAACUCCGUGCCAGCAGCCGCGGUAAUACGGAGGGUGCAAGCGUUGUCCGGAAUCAUUGGGCGUAAAGAGUUCGUAGGCGGUAUGUUAAGUCUGGUGUUAAAUGCAGAAGCUCAACUUCUGUUCGGCACUAGAUACUGGCAAACUAGAAUGCGGUAGAGGUAAAGGGAAUUCCUGGUGUAGCGGUGAAAUGCUUAGAUAUCAGGAGGAACAUCGGUGGCGUAAGCGCUUUACUGGGCCGUAAUUGACGCUGAGGAACGAAAGCCAGGGUAGCAAAUGGGAUUAGAUACCCGAGUA